rnacentral:rRNA from 1 species
CAGUCGCCACGGUAAAACGUAGGGCGCAAGCGUUAUCCGGAAUUAUUGGGCGUAAAGAGCUCGUAGGCGGUUUGUCGCGUCUGCCGUGAAAGUCCGGGGCUCAACCCCGGAUCUGCGGUGGGUACGGGCAGACUAGAGUGAUGUAGGGGAGACUGGAAUUCCUGGUGUAGCGGUGAAAUGCGCAGAUAUCAGGAGGAACACCGAUGGCGAAGGCAGGUCUCUGGGCAUUAACUGACGCUGAGGAGCGAAAGCAUGGGGAGCAAACAGGAUUAGAUACCCCCGUAGUCCCUGUUUCUUAUAC